GUGUUUCCCAACCCAAUCCUCAUGGACCACCAACAGUCCAGGAUUUAUGCAUUUCUCUGUUUUAUUCCAAUGGAGAUACUGAAAAACCUGGACUGUUGGUGGUCCAUGAGGACUGGGUUGGGGAACA